AGAUCUAAUGUAUAACAUAAAUGGGGGGGGGGCAGUAAGCAACAUCUAAACUCAAAGCAGGAGUGGUACAGAAGCACCCUAUAUGUCAAAGUUCUAAGCAACAGCUGAACUUGGAGAAGGAGGGUGUUGUCGAUUCACCAAGCUGCUCAGGCAAGAAGGCAAAGAAAGAAAAGACCACAUUGAUAACCAUGACUGCUAUAGAAGGCAUGGCUCUUCUCCACCAAGAGCAUCAGAUGGAUUUCAAAAUGGCCCAGGCAGCCAAGAGCAGAGCUGAAUGUGCCCAGAGCUUCAAAGGUGUAGGCCGUCUCCCUACUCCACACAGUAAGUAUCCAGAGCAGUAGCCCAAACCAGAACAAGGCCAGCAAUUUAAGGAGCAGUGGAGGCCUGGUCAUGGGGGAAAACUGGGCAGCUACCAGGUACUGCUGGCUUGAUAAAUAUUUCUUCCAGCGUGUUCACUACAGGUGUGUGGCUUCUGUGAAAGCUGUGUUUGUGGUCAGUGGGAGAAAGCAGGAACAAGAGAGCAGCCAUGUCCCAGUGACGCUGACCAUCUAGGAAACCUGCAGAAGGGCACUCACAAGUGCAUGUUUCCGAGCAUGUGAAAGGACCCAUGAAAUGGUGAGAUGUGUAAAGGAGCUUGCCUCUGGGUCUGACAACUUGGAUUUCAU
rnacentral:lncRNA from 1 species